rnacentral:rRNA from 1 species
GACGACGCUGGCGGCGUGCUUAACACAUGCAAGUCGAACGAGUGGCGAACGGGUGAGUAAUUUCUGGGAAACUGCCUGAUGGAGGGGGAUAACUACUGGAAACGGUAGCUAAUACCGCAUACCAUCAGAUGUGCCCAGAUGGGAUUAGCUAGUAGGUGGGGUAAUGGCUCACCUCGGCGACGAGCCCUCGCUGGUCUGAGAGGAUGACCAGCAACACUGGAACUGAGACACGGUCCAGACUCCUACGGGAGGCAGAAGUGGGGAAGAUUGCACAAUGGGCGAAAGCCUGAUGAAGCCAUGCCGCGUGUGUGAAGAAGGCCUUCGGGUUGUAAAGCACUUUCAGCGAGGAGGCGUUACUCGCAGAAGAAGCACCGGCGAACUCCGUGCCAGCAGCCGCGGUAAUAC